CAUUCAGAGGUUUGGUUUUCUCUGAGAACAGAUCUCCUCCGAAAGGAAAACAUAACGGGCAUACUUCGCAGGUUCCUGAGUUAUACAAAAGGACUCAUCCAUCUGCUACUUAUUAACUAGAUUAAUAUCAUUUAAACUAUUCACUGCCUAUGGAUCACUGAUUUCUUGCAUACUCACCAGAAGGAUCGUAUGGCGGUGAAACUUCCACAAGGUCACAACCUACCACGUUCAGGCUCUGACAGCCCCGGAUGAUUUCCAGAGCCUGUCCAAGAUCAAGCCACAGUGGUAACCAUUUCUAGUGAAAAGCAGCCAGCAGAGGCCUCCGGGGAUUUCUCCCAACACGUGGCCACCUUUGACAUGGAACUGUUGCUUUCCCUCAGUGAACAUUAAACCGUCGGGCACAGUGGCAGGCAUCAUGGAGACACAAAUAACCAGUGCUCGGCCCCUGCUCCUGAGGGCUCGCUCCACAGUGUGAUUUGAUGAUGGUGACAAGGAAACCAAUUAUUUCAGUGCCAAAUUAAGGGCUUCAAGAAAAGCAAGCAUAGAAUAGUGUAAGCACAUGAAACCGUUGGAAGAGGUGGUGGAAGGCCUCCCCAAGGUGGACAUGGCUCAAGAAAGUGACCAAAGAGACAAGCAGGGGAAGGGCAGCCCAGGCAGAGGGAAAGACACAUGCGAAAGGCACCGAGAUGGGAGAACCAGUAGUGAGAUGUGGCCAGCAGACGGAGUCAGGGAGAGGGAUGGUAGGGAGAGGCGCUUUGUCUGCGUUUUCAUUCUGCAGGUGAAGAGCCCAGAAGGACGAUAAGCUGAGGGAUGAGGACUGUGUUUCAGAAAACUGACGAGAACUCAGGAUGCCUUUAAAGAGGCGGUCCUGACCAUCCUCCUUUCUUAGAGGCUAUGGGAUAAUUAAAUAAGCAGUCUCCAUUCAUUUCCUCACAAAUAUCUUCGAGUACCUACUACAUGCCAGGCACUGUUCUAGGCUCCAAGGAGAGGGUAGUGAACCAAACAAAGGCCCGACCUCCCGGAUUUACCUCCUAGUUAUAACCACGCUCCCAUUCUGCCUCCCUGCUUUACGUUCAGUGUACCCCGUGGGAGCUGUAUUUGGGUAUUUCUAAAACUCUUGAACUACCUUGGUAGCUGGUUGAUCCAACUGCACACUUCACGCUUUUAAAAUUUAACCCCCAAAAGAUAAGUUCAGUGUCCUUAAGAAGGGGUCGUACGAUAUCGUCCCCAUGAACCAACUACACGUGGACUAGAGACAGAAAGAUCACAUAAAGGACAGUGAUAUCCCAGAUAAAUGAGGGCACUUGCUAAAAUCAGCCACUUCUCAGUAAGGGGGUAUUCAACCCUACAGUCGGCCCUGAGGACAGUAUAAAGACUUAAGUGCUCAGUUUUUAAAAUCCUACCUUGAUUGCCGAAGACUCACUACAAGGACCAGAAAAGUAGGGAGUUAAAAAUCCUCCCUCCCAGGAACGGUCACUGCUGGAGCCUCCUUACCUGACUAGGGGUGAGACCAGCAAUUUCAGGGGUCCCUGUCCCCGGGGCAUAGGCAGGAUCCAAGCCGUCAAUAUCAAAGCUGAUGUAAACAGGUCUGCCUCCCAUCUGCUGCCUCACUUCCCCCAUCAGAGGGACCAGUGACUUCAUCCAGCAGUCUUCAGCCAGGACCACCCGGAAGCCCUGAGGAGGUGGGAAUCGAAGAGCGGGGGCGCAAGGCCUCAGCAUGGCAGCGUUCCCUAUGUGGCAGCCCCAAGCUCAGCUCUUUAUGUCCACAUCACGUUUGACCGCCAGCCUUCACGAGGAAGGAACCGUCAUCCCCAUUUUGCAGGGGAGGAAGGUAGGAACGGCAGCUGGUAAAGAAGCAGGGAGAAAGCCCACGGUGACCUGUGGAGCUGGGAUCAGAGAGAAGCCCGAGUGAGAAACUCAGGACAGAUCAUGCCAGCACCGCCCGAACAGCUCUGUCCAGAGACUGGCCUUUGCACGCUCUAAAAGCAGGGGACUUGGGUCCUGCCUGUUGGGGGUCUUGUCCUACGUAUUUACCUGGGAGCCACCUGGCCUAGUGAGUAUGAGGAUGAGAACUAAGAAGGCAGCCAGUCACCUUGGGUUUGAACCUCCUCAGCUCUUUUCCAAGCCAGCAACAUCCAGGAGCUGGUUCGUUGCUGCUUGUCUCCCCACCCCAGCGAUAAGAGGCUUCCUCUACCCCAUCGGCUACCGUCCUUGCUCCUCUCUGCUCCACGUGACCCUCUCGACGCAAAGUCAGCUUUUUGUCCUCAUUUUCUGAAGCUGAUUAUUAAAGCCUCUGUUGAAUCCAUAGCCACCAUGGAUGGAGUGGACAAUCGAGAGAAAGGCAUUUUGCGGGCAGGAGACAGAGGGAGGGGCAUUGGGUCUGUCACCUGGUUCCGGCUGUAACUGUAGGGAUCCAAGGUCAUGGACGAGCCCCGGAUGCCAAUCUGCACUACGCGCUUACAGUCCAAGAGUCCCUCGUCCACGCAUCGGCGGAAGGGUGUCCCAUGAUAGAUCUUCUCUCCCAGGGCCUUGUCGGCUAUGUCCAUGUGAGCAUCCACGUGCAGAAGCCCCACAGGGCCAUGCCUGAUGACAACAGGGCAGCUCAGAGGCCAGGCUUCCUCAUGGGACCUGAGCACAGCCACCCUCCAAUCUACCAAAACUUGAUGACAGUUCAUAGCUAAGGAGGGGAGACCUGGCAUCAGUUACCGGCCUUGUGACUGGUUUCUGUCUUCAAAUGACUUAUUAUCUCAGAACAAUAAACUCAGAGAAGUCAGGCCCAAAAUAGACAUGUGCUUUAGCUGCCACCCACUACAUAUCACCCAGGAUUUUCUUCACUUAGAAAUGGAGAGAGCCAGGAGGAUGACAAUGAAGGAUAAACUCAGCUGAACUAAUCAGAGCCACCCUUUCUCCAGCUGUGGCGCCAAGAAGCUACUUCGACCCAGCUCUCUUGCCAUAAUCUCCAUCAACGCUGCUGGCCACCCAAAAGAAACAUACGAUCCAAAACCAUGCUGGGCAAACAGAGCUUCAAAAAAAAGACUUGUACCCACCCACCCCAAAUUAGAAUUCUGCCUACACGUCUUUCCAAUCUAUGAAUUCUGGAGCUGCUGCCGCCUUGGCCCAUCUGUCUCUUUCCCAAACUAAUUAACCAAACUUAGUCAAUCCUUGGUAGAGUUCCACUACUAGGAAAGCCAGUUUCUCAUUCUGAGGGAAAAAGGGGCCCUUACAGGAAAAACGAGAGCCUCUCUUCAUCACAGUGGCUUGCCCUGGAGAAGUAGCUGUACUCCGGCCCAGCAUUACUCAACCCCGAGGGCAGAGACCUGCCCUUGCCCUUGCAGAUGCCAUUACC